rnacentral:rRNA from 1 species
AUAAGUAAUGUGAAUUGCAGAUUUCAGUGAAUCAUCGAAUCUUUGAACGCACCUUGCACCCUAUGGUAUUCCACAGGGUAUGCCCGUUUGAGUAUCAUUAUAUUAUCAACUGCCAAAACC